GAAAAAUUAUGAUUUAAUUUAAAAAUUAAGUUAAGUUGCUUUGAUUUUUAUAUUUAUAUUGGUCUAGAGGGUAUAGUAAGUAGUAAUUAAUUUUAUAUUAUUUAUUAAUUGUAAGAUAUAGCAAUAGCUUUUUAUUCUAACAAAUGUUUGUGCCAGCAGUUGCGGUUACACAAAAGGGGUAACUUAAUUUUUACGGUUUUAGUUAAUUAUUUCAAAAUCUUGAAAUUUUAUAUUGAGAGGUGAAAUUUUAAUGUAAAGAUUGAAUUGAUAGGUUAAAUGAUCUAGAAAAAUUUAUUUAUAAACCAGGAUUAGAUACCCUGUUAUUUAAAUUGUAAUAAGGAGAACCGGAUUAGUAUUAGUUAAGUGCUUCAAAAUUAAAUGUCUUGGCGGUAUUUUAACCUUUCAGAGGAGCCUGUCCUGUAAUUGAUAAUUCACAAUUUAUUUUACUUUUAUAAUUGUUUGUAUAUCGUUGUUAAAAUGAAUAUUUCUUAAGAAAUAGAAUUUUCUUUAUAUAAAAUUUUAUUUUAAAUCAAAUCAAGGUGCAGCUUUUAAAAGAAGAGAUGGGCUACAUUUAUAAGUUUAAAUUUGUAAAUUUUAUUUUUUUAGGAUUUGGCAGUAAUUAUAUUUAUUAAAAUAUAAUGAAUCAGGCUCUAGAAUAUGUACAUAUCGCCCGUCGCUUUCAUAUUUUUAUGAAAUAAGUCGUAACACAGUAGAUUUAUCGGAAGAUGAUUCUGGAAUGGC
rnacentral:ncRNA from 1 species